UACGUAGGGGGCUAGCGUUGUCCGGAUUUAUUGGGCGUAAAGAGCGUGUAGGCGGCCAGGUAGGUCUGCUGUGAAAACUCGGGGCUUAACCCCGAGCCUGCUUCUGAUACGGGCAGACUAGAGGUAUGCAGGGGAGAACGGAAUUCCUGGUGUAGCGGUGAAAUGCGCAGAUAUCAGGAGGAACACCGGUGGCGAAGGCGGUUCUCUGGGCAUUACCUGACGCUGAGGAGCGAAAGUGUGGGGAGCGAACAGG
rnacentral:rRNA from 1 species